rnacentral:rRNA from 1 species
AGAGUGGGGGAUAACGUAGCGAAAGUUACGCUAAUACCGCAUACGAUCUAAGGAUGAAAGUGGGGGAUCGCAAGACCUCAUGCUCGUGGAGCGGCCGAUAUCUGAUUAGCUAGUUGGUAGGGUAAAAGCCUACCAAGGCAUCGAUCAGUAGCUGGUCUGAGAGGACGACCAGCCACACUGGAACUGAGACACGGUCCAGACUCCUACGGGAGGCAGCAGUGGGGAAUUUUGGACAAUGGGCGAAAGCCUGAUCCAGCAAUGCCGCGUGAGUGAAGAAGGCCUUCGGGUUGUAAAGCUCUUUUGUCAGGGAAGAAACGGUGAGAGCUAAUAUCUCUUGCUAAUGACGGUACCUGAAGAAUAAGCACCGGCUAACUACGUGCCAGCAGCCGCGGUAAUACGUAGGGUGCAAGCGUUAAUCGGAAUUACUGGGCGUAAAGCGUGCGCAGGCGGUUUUGUAAGUCUGAUGUGAAAUCCCCGGGCUCAACCUGGGAAUUGCAUUGGAGACUGCAAGGCUAGAAUCUGGCAGAGGGGGGUAGAAUUCCACGUGUAGCAGUGAAAUGCGUAGAUAUGUGGAGGAACACCGAUGGCGAAGGCAGCCCCCUGGGUCAAGAUUGACGCUCAUGCACGAAAGCGUGGGGAGCAAACAGGAUUAGAUACCCUGGUAGUCCACGCCCUAAACGAUGUCUACUAGUUGUCGGGUCUUAAUUGACUUGGUAACGCAGCUAACGCGUGAAGUAGACCGCCUGGGGAGUACGGUCGCAAGAUUAAAACUCAAAGGAAUUGACGGGGACCCGCACAAGCGGUGGAUGAUGUGGAUUAAUUCGAUGCAACGCGAAAAACCUUACCUACCCUUGACAUGGCUGGAAUCCCCGAGAGAUUGGGGAGUGCUCGAAAGAGAACCAGUACACAGGUGCUGCAUGGCUGUCGUCAGCUCGUGUCGUGAGAUGUUGGGUUAAGUCCCGCAACGAGCGCAACCCUUGUCAUUAGUUGCUACGAAAGGGCACUCUAAUGAGACUGCCGGUGACAAACCGGAGGAAGGUGGGGAUGACGUCAAGUCCUCAUGGCCCUUAUGGGUAGGGCUUCACACGUCAUACAAUGGUACAUACAGAGCGCCGCCAACCCGCGAGGGGGAGCUAAUCGCAGAAAGUGUAUCGUAGUCCGGAUUGUAGUCUGCAACUCGACUGCAUGAAGUUGGAAUCGCUAGUAAUCGCGGAUCAGCAUGUCGCGGUGAAUACGUUCCCGGGUUUUGUACACACCG